GUGGAUCCGGUCGUGGGAAGCAGGUUUCUGUACCUUGACCCUCCAUAGAGUGAACUUCUAGGUUCUGAGCUGACUCCUUGGAAACCCUAGACUCCAGGGACGCGCUUCUAGAACCUGCUCAGAUUGCUACUCAGUUAACAGCCUGGCCCAGGAGGAUUGCAACACCCAGCCUGGCUCCCAGGCAAGCUAAAGAGGGCUUGAUGAUGGGAAGAGGUUAAGGGGUACGUGGAGAGAAAGAAGGAUCAGAAGGCGGAAACAUCAUAGACCUCCUGGGAUGCCUUCUGCAGGAUCACAGAGAAGGCAAAAUUUGUCCUCCUGACUACAAGAUGCCAAGAUACAUUUGUAUCGAGCCACUGAAUUCUCUACCCCUUCUGUAGAGGUGGUUGGGGAAGAGCUGCAGUAGGAAGCUGGGUCCCAAGUAAUGAAGGACCUUUAGAAGCAGAAGGUGUUAGGGUGGGGGCAAAGGACUGAACUCUGACCAACCAGAAGAAAGGAAAAACUGGAGUUCCUUUCCCCUAGGUCUGCCUUUCUUUCUCAGGGUCUCUAUUUACUUCUCAUGCACUUGACUCUCUGCUUCCCUCUCCCUCAUUUCCACAAAGGGGCCCAAGCUUCACAUGCAUCUCGCACCCCCGCACCUUGUGGGCAGGAAAUCUGAGCACAGGCAUUUCCUGUACGCUGAUAAAUGCCCACUGCAAAGAGCCCCAGCCUGAAGGUGGCCCUGUCUCCUAGUUAUGUCCCUCCACAUCCUUAUCUCCCCAGGCUCCAGCCCUCACCAGCAGGGACUCAACAAACGCCAUCUGUCAGAUGAGUCAUGGGACCAGAAGCUUGGGAGAAGACAUGCAGAGCCAACCACUAACAAAACUGGCAAAUGAAAUAAAUGCCCAGAAACCUGCUCCAUCCCCAGCAUUCCUUAAGUCCUAUAAAUUGCACCACCUUUUACCAGUUUUCAGAAACUAAAAGUCAUCCUUGACAUCCGUCCAAUCAAUCACCUCCUAUUUAUCUCCCAAAUUCAUUCUUUUUUCUUUUUGAAACAGAGUUUUUACUCUUGUUGCCCAGGCUGAAGUGCAAUGGCACGAUCUCAGCUCCCUGCAACCUCCGCC
rnacentral:lncRNA from 10 species